GGGUGCGAUCAUACCAGCACUAAUGCACCGGAUCCCAUCAGAACUCCGAAGUUAAAGCGUGCUUGGGCGAGAGUAGUAUUAGGA
rnacentral:rRNA from 1 species